rnacentral:misc_RNA from 1 species
CAGAUCAGCUCACGCUAUCUAUCGGAUCGUUUUAGAAACAUUCAGGGGCCAAUCGAUCGCAAGAUCCUUGAGCUCCAUUGGCGGGAUUUCGCCGUCUUCGUUUCUCUUUCUUCGCGGACGAACACGCGCCAGGGGGCUUAGCGCUGUGCGGUUGCAUUCGGCGCUGGUCGCCGGCUGCGCGCACGCAAGAUCCCUAGUCCUAUGAAGGAUAGCGUUAGGGGCUUGUAGCUCAGUUGGUUAGAGCGCGCGCUUGAUAAGCGUGAGGUCGGAAGUUCAAGUCUUCCCAGGCCCACCAGCCUUCGCUCGCGCUAGCGAGCGCAAGGCUGCCGCGCCGAAGCCCAACGGGCGAAGGCGGGCCAGUCAGCGCGAGCUUCGGCUCGGCAAGCCACAAAGUACGAACAUCGCGCUUCGUCUUCUGGUUACGGGGCCAUAGCUCAGCUGGGAGAGCGCGUGCUUUGCAAGCAUGAGGUCGUCGGUUCGAUCCCGUCUGGCUCCACCAGAUGGUUUGAUCACCAACGGCGUAACCGUCGUCCGCGAAACAUCACUUCGCACUCAUUGGUCCGGAUGGACGGUGACGUGCGUGUUUUCUGACAUCGUAAAGAGGAGAUCGAUCCGAGUUUGGAUCAAGCGAAGCAAUUCGCCUGAACCAUUCACUAUCUCCGGGAUCAUUUCGGCGCUCGCUUUCAGUCGUGAGAUUGAGUGCGGGUUGUAAAUGAUCUCUGUUAGCGAAGCUUGACCGCCUCGCUAUCGGGCCGAUCUUACGAAGCAAGCUGGUCUUUCUAGUCAAUGUCCGGCUGCGCAAUCGCAUUCAUCGAGGAUGCGCGCCUGAGACUUCGGUCUUUGGGCAGUUGUGCAGACAACAUUCUGCCGAGUGUGUGGACAUUGAUAAUGAGAGCAAUCAAGUGCCUUAAAGGGUGUUCGGUGGAUGCCUUGGCGCUGAGAGGCGAUGAAGGACGUGCUACGCUGCGAUAAGCCGUGGGAGCUGCGA